GGCCCUAUAGUUGAACUGGAUACAACGCAGGAUUCCUAAUCCUGAGCUCGAGGUUCGAGUCCUCGUAGGGUCGCCA
rnacentral:tRNA from 1 species